UGUUGGGAACAGGCCCCCAAAACUGGCCAUAAACAAAAUCUCUGCAGCACUGUGACAUGUUCAUGAUGGCCAUGACCCCCACCCUGAAGGUCAUGGGUUUACCGGAAUGAGGGCAAGGAACACCUGGCUCACCCAGGACGGAAAACGGCUUAAAGGGGUUCCUGUACCACAAACAAUAGCAUGAGUGAUCUGUGCCUUAAGGACAUGUUCCUGCUGCAGAUAACUAGCCAGAGCCCAUCCGUUUAUUUUGGCACAUCCCUUUAUUUCAUAAGAAAUGCUUUUAGUUAAUCUAUAAUCUAUAGAAAUAAUGCUUAUCACUGGCUUGCUGUCAAUAAAUAUGUGUGUAAAUCUC
rnacentral:lncRNA from 1 species